UUCAGAAUUGCAGUGCAAGCUUCCUGUCUUACAUUACCUUGCAAGAAAAAAAUGACUUCCGGAUAGAAAGACAGAUAGAUAGACAGACAGAUAGACAGUUAGACAGACAGAUAGAUAGAUGAUAGAUGAUUUCUAUGUGUACAUAUGUGUGAACAAGUAGACCACAUUCAGUAAAAAUUCACAGGGAAAUCAUGAGAAUUUUCAUUACAGCACAAAGAGGUUUGCAAUAACUUUGAUCUGAUAUAGAAUAUUCAAUGCUUUACAUCUCUCUGGGAAGGAAGUGGAAACACGCUGUGGUUAAGGGUCUCUGCAUUUUGCUGAAACCUUUAGUUGGUUUGACACCAUUGCGAAAGACUGACACAAUGAAGCAAGUAAUUUUCUUCUUCUGUGUAUUUUCUUAUUGGAUUACACAAAUCACAUCCAAUGAUGCGUCAGUACAAGGAUCUUCUGAUCUGUUAAGAGUUCAACUGGAAGAAAACGUCAGUCUGAACUGCAGCAUGACAGAUCAACAUGACAUCGCCUGGUAUCACCUCAGAUCUGACCGAUUCAAUCAACUGAUUGCGGCAGAAAAGGAUGAAACAGGAAGAAAACUUCUGGUCACCUACAAUCAAAACAGCAUUCGUCUGAUAAUUACUGCAGACUGGCGGAUCACCACAGUGACUUUAACUAUUUCUGGAGUAACAGAGUCAGAUUCUGGUCUUUAUUUCUGUGGAACAAAGUCUGGCACUACAGAGAUGUACUUCAACAAACCCAUCAGACUAGAGAUCCAGGGUCUUUCUGUAACAGAAGAACCAAAAGAAGUUGACAUCACAGAUGGAGUGACUACGAAAGAGAGGGCAAUGAUGUUCGGUGGUGUUGGUCUGGCUGUGCUUGUGUUUUUUCUGGCUACAGUCUUUGCAGGAGGAAUCAUUCACUAUCGAGUCUGAGCUUUGCACUGCCAGUUAAAUCAGCAUUACUGCAGGUUACCACAAAUAAAACAGAAAACUGUGACCUAGAUGCCUUUCCU
ensembl:lncRNA